rnacentral:tRNA from 1 species
GCCUAGAUACGCCAAUCGGCAGAGCGGUCCGGCUUAAACCCGGAUGUUUGCAGGUUCGACCCCUGCUCUGGGCAC